UACGUAGGGUGCGAGCGUUGUCCGGAAUUAUUGGGCGUAAAGAGCUCGUAGGCGGUCAGUCGCGUCUGCUGUGAAAACUCGGGGCUUAACUCCGGGCCUGCAGUGGGUACGGGCUGACUAGAGUGCGGUAGGGGAGACUGGAAUUCCUGGUGUAGCGGUGAAAUGCGCAGAUAUCGGGAGGAACACCAAUGGCGAAGGCAGCUCGCUGGGACGUGACUGACGCUGAGACGCGAAAGCGUGGGGAGCAAACAGG
rnacentral:rRNA from 1 species